rnacentral:rRNA from 1 species
AAUUGAUCUGGUCAGAACGAACGCUGGCGGCGCGUUUAAGCAUGCAAGUCGAGCGGCAAGGGCCUUCGGGCCCUAGAGCGGCGGACGGGUGAGUAACACGUGGACAAUCUGCCCCCGGCCCGGGAUAGCCCAGGGAAACCUGGAUUAAUACCGGAUGAGACGGGACCCGCGAAGGCGGGACCCGGGAAAGGCGCUGCGGCGCCGCCGGGGGAUGAGUCUGCGUCCCAUUAGCUAGACGGCGGGGUAACGGCCCACCGUGGCGACGAUGGGUAGCCGGCCUGAGAGGGUGGACGGCCACAUUGGAACUGAGACACGGUCCAGGCUCCUACGGGAGGCAGCAGCUAAGAAUCUUCCGCAAUGGGCGAAAGCCUGACGGAGCGACGCCCGCGUGAACGAAGAAGGCCGUGAGGUUGUAAAGUUCUUUUCGGGAGGGGGAACAACCGUGGCAGGGAAUGGCCGCGGGAUGACGUGAAUCCCGGAAUAAGCCCCGGCUAACUACGUGCCAGCAGCCGC